UAUCACAGAAUAAAAUAUAAAUGUAAGCAGUGUUUCAUGUGCUACUUUUCAGCCGCGGCGAUGACCGCGCGCGAUGGUUGCACGCGCACGCAGCGCGCCCAGUGUAGUCGGCUUCAUUAACAAAUGACUCUUAAGAACCGGUUCUUUUUGAGUCAAAAAUACAAAGCGCAGCCCAUUUGUUCGUGAAUCAGAUACUGCUUCUCGGUUUAUUCAGAAGUCCUCUGAGAAAUCUAAUCCCGUCCGGAUGUGUUCUGAGAUUCAUCCCGUAAUUGUUUGGUGAUCGAUUCUCUGACCGCUCGCUCCACUUUCAUCAUGGAUACAGAGGCCUUUCUGCCACAUCGGACGAAACAAUAACAUGAGCCGAUCACGAAAACUAAUAGCAGAGUUAGGGAACAUGCGCCCGCUGAUGCCCGAAGCCUCAGCCAAGCACGGAAAUACUGCACUUUUUUCACAAAUAGCAAAUUCUCCACCAUGGAUAAACAGAGCGGGAGCUAAGAGUAAGCCCUGGAUUAAUCCUCUCUGCCAAACAGCAUGGACUUCUCAGCUGCGAUGCGACGGGCCGCUCUUGUCGCGUCUUGGAGAGGAAGCGCGUGAAUACAGAAAAAAAACUGCAAGGAAAUAAUCAGCCAGAGUCAUUCUGUCCAAGAUGUGGAGAGAGGAUCAGUCACAUGGCUGCUUCUUUAAAGCGAAAAAAAAAAUCAUGUGAGAUGACAGCCUGUGCGGGCGCUUUCCACUCACGGAUGCCUCCGAGGAGCUUUCGGCCUGCCUACACAAUGAAAAGAGACACAUACCUGUGGGCAGAGCUUUAUCGGUGCUACCUAACCAGGCAUGUGUCAGUUAAAUCCGCUUUGAAAUAUGCGCUCACAAGAUUAGACAUCUCACCUGAGAUGGAAGGACGUGGGUAAAGACUGACUGUUUUAAUGUGAUUUCGGUGCUCAGGCGGGCAGAGACACCCAACGGUGGUCUGUUGCAAUUGGUGAGAACCCAUAAACGUAUCAUCUGGUUCUGAAUGGUCUUAUUAUAUUUCCACUUCCAUUCACUGUAAUCGUUUUAAGAUGAUAAUGUUACUCGGUAUGCAGAUGUCAAGGCGGGCAUCACUGUUACUAUUGCUCAUAUUUUCAUUCAAUUUAAACAAACUAUGAACCUUGAGUAUUAAAUCUGGCAUGUGUGAUUUUUCGCCUGGUGUAUGAUAAUAUAAGAGAAAAAUUGCAUUUCUUGCUUGAAAAAAAAACAUCUUAACUAAGCUUAAGAUAGGUUGCUGGUGUUCUAGUAGUCCAGUUUGCUGGAUUUAAAGGGGGUUUGGACACUUUUCAGCUGGUCAGGCUGGUUUGGUUUACUGGUUUAAAAGAGGUUUUGUCGGAAGUCAUGGUUUUAGAAGGGUUUUUGGGCACUUGUCAGCUGCUCCAACAGGUCUAGUUUUCCAGUAUUUAGUGAGACUUUGUCAACUAUAAUACUUUUAUAUGGGUCUUGUUUAGUAAUUUUAGAGGGCUUUGUCUUCACUGAUGGUUUAAAAGGGGCACUUGUCAGGGAAGAUGGUCUUUGGGGGAGUUGAGAAUUUGUCAGCUGCUUGUUGUUUUUUUUGUUUGUUUUUUUUGUUGUUGUUGUUUUUAGAUUUUUGCACAUUUGUAAGGUAUUGUAAUUUUAGAUGAGUUUGGGGCAUUUUUGAUGAAUGAUGGUUUUCGAGGGGUUGGUCUUUUGUCAGCUGCUCUGGCUGGUCUUGUUUGCUGGUUUGUAAGCUUUUUGGACAUUUGUCAGGUAUUGCAAUUUUAGAUGGGUUUGGGGCAUUUUUGAGCAAUGAUGGUUUUCAAGGGGUUGGUCUUUUGUCAGCUGAUCAGGCUGGUCUAGUUUGCUGGAGGUUUUUUUAGACCUUUGGACAUUUGUCAGCUACUGUAAUUUUAGAUGGGUUUGGGCGAUUUUUGAGCCAUGAUGGUUUUCGAGGGGUUGAUCUUUUGUCAGCUGAUCAGGCUGGUCUAGUUUGCUGGUGAGGGUUUUGGGGCAUUCGUUAACAAUUAUGUUUUUUAGAGGUUUUUAAGAAUUUGUCAGCUGCUCGGGCUGGUCUUGUUUGCUGGGGUUUUUUUUUUUGGACAUUUGGACAUUUGUCAACUAUUGUAAUUUUAGAUGGGUUUUGGGCAUUUUUGAGCAAUGAUGGUUUCUGAGGUAUUGGUCUCUUGUCAGCUGAUCGUGCUGGUCUAGUUUGGUAACUUUAGAGGGGUUUUGGGGCACUUGCAGUGAUGGUUUAAGAGGAGUUUGGGGCAUUUUCAGCUGCUCAGGCUGGUGUUGAUUUUUUCAGGUUUUGGUAAUUUGUCAUCUCUGACAGGUUUAGAGGGGUUGUGGUUAUUUGUCAGAUACUCAGGCUGGACUACUUUGCUGGUUUCUUUUUAGGAACUUGUCAGCAAAGAGGGUUUUUGAGAAUUUGUCAGCUGAUGGUAUAGUUGUAUUAUAGAAAUGGUAUAGUUGCUAGUUUUAGAGUGGUUUUAGCACUUGUCGACUAAUCAGGCUGGUCUGUUUUGCUCAUUUUUAGAGACUUGCUGGCACUUGGUCUGGUCUUUUGUGCUGGUCUUUCUUGUUGAUUUCAUUGUGUUUUUGAGUACUUUUCAGCUUGGAGAUUUUUUUCAGCAGGGUCUCAAGCCAUAUUUAGAGACCAUAAUUUAAGUAACCACCUAGCAACGAUCCAGAAUACCAGCACUGUGGUGAAGCAGGGAGGAAAAGAAAUGGAGAACCAUGUCAGGUUAGAUAAAUAUAAAUGUAGGAAGGCUGGGUAAAACUCAAUGGAGAGGAAGACCCACUCAUGUUAUUUACACCAAAAUGACAUUCCCAUCGCUGGAACCUCACAGAAGCUCCACGCCACCACUUGCACUUACAGCCUGAUUCUUCAUUCAAGGACGGGCCUUUGAAGUUACCAAGGAAACCCAGAGCUCCUCAGACUGCUCCUCUUCAACAUUUCCAUAUCAAAGCCUCCUCACCCGGAUAUCAUCUGUCAAAUGGCAAUUAAAAUAUCACACAAUCAGUCGAGAUUAGACAAAUUAUGGACCUAUAGCAUUUAUAUAAAGUCAUGUGAUUUACACCUAUUUGACUAAGGUAUUGAUUUUGGAUAUUAAACUAAACUGUGGAAAAAUUUGUCAGUAGUUUUAUAAAAAUCAUCUUUGUCCCUCAGGUGUGUUUAUGGGUAAGAAGACAGUGGAUGUGUUUGAUCUGUAUGUGAUGGUGCUUGGUUGUUUAUCAGUAUUGUGUGAAAGUUAAACGCUCCCGUUCAAUCUUUAUUGUAUUUCAGCUUUCAUUUUUCGAUGCUUGUAUUGAUCUUGCUCAGAACUGCAAAUUCAACAAAAUAUUUCAAUCGCAAUAUAUGCCCAUAGGAAAGAAAAAUCACAAAUAAGAUCUCUUUAAUAUCUCGUUUGUUGCGCGUGGACAGCAACAAGAUUAAAUGGGGAGUGUUUCUGCAGUUUUUCUUCCUGUGAAAAAGACUGCAGUGAACUGACACAUUUUUCCUCUGCAGUUUUACAAGAAAUGCCUUAGUUUGUCUGCAAUAAAAAAUUUAAUACCAACUGAAAUAUUUCUCAUCAAAAUCUAAAUUAUUAAAAAUAAUGUAAUAAAUAUUUUAUCUUGUUUUGCAACAAAAAAACUAUAUAUUUUUUAAAACGAACAAAAAAGUUUGAAAUUGUGUAUAAAAAAGUUUCAGAGAGUAUUGCAUUGUAGUAUUUAUUUAAAUUGAAAGUAUAUUUUAUAUCUAUAUUUUCCUAGGGCAUUGGCAGUAAGUAAAUAAAUAAAUAAAUGCAUACAUACGUAAAAAAAACUCAGUAUGUUUAUAUAUUAUGCUUGAAACAAAACAAAAUGAUUCAAGAUAUGUUUUCAGAAAACAAGUGAUAAUCUAAUGUGGUUUGCUUUUCAGACACAUUUAUCUUGUUUAAGGAUGUUUGGAUAUUUUUAAAUUGGAAAACAAUGUGUUAUCCACAUUAAUUUAUCAACAAUUGUCUUAUUUAUUUCUCCUUGAACUUUAAGGAAACUUAAGCAGCAACAUCUGAGACAACAUUUGCACAUUAAUGAAUGAAAAAUAGG